UACGGAGGGUGCAAGCGUUAUCCGGAUUUACUGGGUUUAAAGGGCGCGUAGGCGGCCCGCUAAGUCGAACGUGAAAUCCCUGGGCUCAACCCAGGAACUGCGUCCGAUACUGGCAGGCUUGAAUCCGGGAGAGGGAUGCGGAAUUCCAGGUGUAGCGGUGAAAUGCGUAGAUAUCUGGAGGAACACCGGUGGCGAAGGCGGCAUCCUGGACCGGCAUUGACGCUGAGGCGCGAAAGCCAGGGGAGCAAACGGG
rnacentral:rRNA from 1 species